rnacentral:lncRNA from 1 species
GCGGGGCCCAGCACGUGGGCGUGCGUAGGCGAGCACGGCCCUGCAUGCGGGCACACGCAGGCUGGCAUGCGGGCGGUGCCCAACUAUCACAAGUGGGGCGCGGCCUCUUCAUGUGGUCCACACCUCGCUCCUCUUCAUGUGGUCCACACGCAAGGCAUGGACCAAGCCCAUUUCCUCUUGCAUUUCGUGCGGUCCACCAUGGACUGACGACAUUUUUGCUUCAUUUCUCAUGGUGUACGAUGGUCUAUAGCAUAGAUUUAUGCGAUUGGAUGGCUUGCAGGUGUUGCAG